UUCCUUCAGAGUUCUACCCCGUCUACCUCCGCCACUGCCGUUACAGGGAGGCAAUCUUCUUCUCCUUCGCCGGGGACACGCGAUUCUUCAUUUAGAAAUAUCGAAGCUGUCUUCUACUGGAGAAAAGGCGACGGCGAUCGGAGAUUCGUUCGAAAACCUUCGGCCCCCUCGUCAUCCGGCGAGGCAGAAAAUUUAGGCCAUUUGAAAGAGAUAAUCAAGAGGAGCAAUGGUGUUUUGUACCUGAGCUGUUGAAAGGCAAAUUGGGCAUGGUGGGAGCGCAAGUUUGGAGGUUAGUGUAAGAUAGUGGCACAACAUGUAUGUAUAGGGGUGUGAACUAGCUGAGCUUGGGGAGUUGAGCAUAUGUUUGAGUGCGGCUUCUUUAUAUUUUUUUACAGUUCUAUGAACAGCCUGUUCUUGUUUGAUUCUAAAGUAAAAUUUUGUGUUUGUUUUCA